CUGCUUCCACAGCUCACUACAGACCCCUAACUAUGAAGAUGCAUCAAAAACCUGUGCCGAAGAAAUAAGGGCUUGGACCGCAUCAUAUGGAAACAGACCCCUGGGACCUAUUUAUAACGUGUCCUGUAUCUCCGAAGGAUAACCUGCCCAGGAAGGUCACUGUGCCUUCCAGUGAGAAACAAUGUACAAUACACUCCAGGUCAAGGGUGAAGAGGAGAGGCGUACACAUCAUACUUUUAGCAUGAAUUACACCAUGUCAACCAAGAACAACAACACUACAGUGGGAGAAACCCCCUAGAUCAUCUGGAAAGCACAUCUAACUCCACCCUAUUGAACACCACCACCAGCCCCCCAACCCACUCGACCUCUCCUCGUACCCCCUGUAGAGCCUGGGUAGAGUGGGGACAGUCCAGUGUGAUUAACACCCAGGCGGGAACAACAUGUCAGUACAUGUCUGCUCUGAGCCAGCCUUACACCGCUCUCACACACUGAUCUACGGUCAGCUCUCCAGCCCAGAUCCUAAAAACUCACCAUAAGAAAUAUUGUAAAGCUGUUCUUAGAUCAGCACUAAGGGAACAAUGUAUCUCUGCUGCCUCCAUUCAGCUGUUUUGGGAUUGGGAAGGCCUUAGGACAUAAACUCCCACGGGGAAUACUCUUCUAAGCUACUGAGGGUACACUAAUCAGGGUCACAGAUUUGUUUAGAGAGAGCUCAAUGUGGUAGACUACUUCAGUUGUGCUGAAAGCAGCAUUCACCAUUAGGGCAAUUGUUGAGACCAAGAUUUUAAAAGAAUAACCUUAGACACAAUGUAUAUGUAUAAAUGUGGGAACUAAAAAAAAUGAAUGAAAUUUUGAUUGUAUUUUUAUGUUACAGUUACAGAGGAGACUUAAUGCCGAUAGUGAAAAUUACAAAUUGACAAAGACUAAGCAAUUUUAAGAAGGUAAUCUGUAUUUAAUUUCAUCUUUUAUUAAUGUCACAAUCACAAAAGUGAAUUUUCAGCAGAUGUGAACCUAUCCUCAUCAAUAGUAUCGUUACUAUACCAAAUAAAUAAAACAAGUAUCUAUGUACUUAAUAUGUACUAACUGCAUUUUUCUGAGUACUAUACAUUUAUGCUUUUGCUGCCAAGAAUAGUAACAAAAUUACGUCAAUGACCUGUAUUACCAGCUCAUCGAGAUUUUCAAAGAUAAAAUUCACAAACAUUUUUAUAUUUUGUAUCAACAAUUAGAAAAAAAGACGAAAACUAACCCACAAUUUCCAGCAUUACAUUUGUGUUUUUAUGCAAUCACACUGUUUGAGCGUAUAUAGAAUAAUGAGUGGAGUUUGGCUAAUGGAAUUCCUGAACACUUUUAUGGAAAACAAUAUCCAACUGAUGACAUGGAUGAUUAGGAUGAAUAAUUGAGUGGGUGUAACUUGAUACCUUGGACUACUGACCAUUAUUUUGACUAAUAUUUGUUAAAAAUGAAUAAUUGGUGUUGGGAGUACCUUUGCUAAAGAGACCAUAGUGGUAUGUGUUAAACGUGAAGUCAAAACAAUAAGCAGAUAACAAAAAAAGGCUGGAGCCAGAAAGUCGUCUUGGUGAAACGAAUUCUAGCAGCUCGUUAUUAUAAAUAAGUUAUUAUAAACAUUAUAUAUGUUGUUUGUUAAUAAAAGUUUGCUAAUC